CCAAUAGCGUAUAUUAAAGUUGUUGCAGUUAAAAAGCUCGUAGUUGAAUUUCGGGAUCAAGUCGUCGGUCGUGCUUAGGUACGUACUGGCGUCAUUGAUUUCUCCCUUCUGACGAACCAUGAUGUCAUUAAUUUGGUGUUAUGGGAAAUCAGGACUGUUACUUUGAAAAAAUUAGAGUGUUUAAAGCAGGCUCACGCUUGAAUACAUUAGCAUGGAAUAAUGAAAUAGGACGUUCGAUCCUAUUUUGUUGGUUUUAGGAUCAACGUAAUGAUUAAUAGGGAUAGUUGGGGGCAUUAGUAUUCAAUUGUCAGAGGUGAAAUUCUUGGAUUUAUUGAAGACUAACUACUGCGAAAGCAUUUGCCAAGGAUGUUUUCAUUAAUCAAGAACGAAAGUUAGGGGAUCGAAGACGAUCAGAUACCGUCGUAGUCUUAACCAUAAACUAUGCCGACUAGGGAUCGGAUGAUGUUAAUUUUUUAAUGACUCAUUCGGCGCCUUACG
rnacentral:rRNA from 1 species